UACAGAGGUCUCAAGCGUUGUUCGGAUUCAUUGGGCGUAAAGGGUGCGUAGGCGGCGCGGUAAGUCGGGUGUGAAAUCUCGGGGCUUAACUCCGAAACUGCAUUCGAUACUACCGUGCUUGAGGACUGGAGAGGGGACUGGAAUUUACGGUGUAGCGGUGAAAUGCGUAGAUAUCGUAAGGAAGACCAGUGGCGAAGGCGGGUCUCUGGACAGUUCCUGACGCUGAGGCACGAAGGUCAGGGGAGCAAACGGG
rnacentral:rRNA from 1 species